rnacentral:rRNA from 1 species
CCUACGGGAGGCUGCAGUGAGGAAUAUUGGUCAAUGGACGAGAGUCUGAACCAGCCAAGUAGCGUGAAGGAUGACUGCCCUAUGGGUUGUAAACUUCUUUUAUAAAGGAAUAAAACGAGGCACGUGUGCCUUUUUGCAUGUCCUUUAUGACUAAGGAUCGGCUAACUCCGUGCCAGCAGCCGCGGUAAUACGGAGGAUCCGAGCGUUAUCCGGAUUGAUUGGGUUUAAAGGGAGCGGAGAUGGGUUGUUAAGUCAGUUGUGAAAGUUUGCGGCUCAACCGUAAAAUUGCAAUUGAUACUGGCAGUCUUGAGCACAGUUGAGGUAGGCGGAAUUCGUGGUGUAGCGGUGAAAUGCUUAGAUAUCACGAAGAACCCCGAUUGCGAAGGCAGCUUACUAAACUGUGACUGACAUUGAUGCUCGAAAGUGUGGGUAUCAAACAGGAUUAGAUACCCCAGUAGUC